rnacentral:rRNA from 1 species
AUGACAACAAGAAAAAAUCGUCAAAUGGCAGCCUGCGGUAUAGCGGCUUGGCUUCUCCUUCGAUGGUGGUGCAGGAACAGGAACUCAGACUCAGAGUGGAACGAAGACUGGGAAGCCCAACUCGGUCCCCGCCGCUUCGCGUACAAGGACCUCCGUCGAGCAACCAAUGGCUUCCACGACAAUCAAAUCCUCAGAAAAGGCGGCUUUGGGCGGGUCUACGGAGGGGCCCUCGCCGGCUCCGGUGUUCCGGUGGCGGUGAAGCGGAUCUCCUCGGAGUCGAGGCAGGGGCUAGCCCAGUUCACAGCUGAGAUCAUCAUCCUUGGCCGGCUGCGACACCGGAACCUGGUCCACCUCAUCGGCUAUUGCCGGCACAAGGACGAGCUGCUCCUGGUCUACGAGCGCAUGCCCAACGGCAGCUUGGACAGCUACCUGCACGCCCAAACCAGGAGCGCCACGCUCUCAUGGACGCAGAGGCUUCACAUCAUCAAGGGCGUCGCGUCCGGGCUCCUGUACCUCCACGAGGACUGGGAGCAGGUCAUCGUGGACCGGGACAUCAAGGCCAGCAACGUCCUCCUAGACGCCGACAUGAACGGCCGGCUGGGAGACUUCGGCCUCGCGAGGCUGCACGACCACGGCGCCGACGCGCACACCACCCACGUGGCCGGCACCAGGGGCUACCUCGCCCCUGAGCUGAUGAGGUUCGGCAAGGCGACCGAGGCCACCGACGUGUUCGCCUUCGGCGCCUUCGUCCUCGAGGUGGCCUGCGGGAGGCGGCCCAUGGGGCUCAACGCCCGCGGCGAGCUGCUGGUGCUCGUCCAGUGGGUGAGAGACACAUGGGAGGGCUGCUCCGGCCUGAUUGUCGACGCCGUCGACCCGAGGCUGGACGACUUCGUCGCCGACGAGGCCGAGCUGGUGCUCAAGCUGGGGCUGCUGUGCUCACAUCCCUUGCCGGCGGCGAGGCCCAGAAUGCGCCUCGUCAUGCGGUACCUCAACGGAGACCUGCCUCUGCCGGAGUUCGCGCCCGGAUACCUCGCCGUCACGGACGUGGAUCAGGUUCUUGAAGCGCCUCCGUAG